rnacentral:rRNA from 1 species
UACGAACCGUACAAACGUUAUUCGGAAUCACUGGGCUUAAAGGGUGCGUAGGCGGCCAUGUAAGUGAGGUGUGAAAUCCCUCGGCUCAACCGAGGAACUGCGCUUCAUACUGCAUGGCUUGAGGGAGACAGGGGUAAGCGGAACUGAUGGUGGAGCGGUGAAAUGCGUUGAUAUCAUCAGGAACACCGGUGGCGAAAGCGGCUUACUGGGUCUCUCCUGACGCUGAGGUACGAAAGCGUGGGGAGCAAACAGG